GCCUCUGUGGAUUAUGGAAUCACAUCACUUGAAUGAUGUUUGUCGAGAAAGUUCACGAGGAGAUAUGGGUUCGAAUCCCAUCGGAGGCG